AUGGAUGCUAAGGAAAGAAGAAGGAAACGAGACAGAGAGCGCUAUGCACAAAUGGCCGAUGAAAAAAGAGAGGAAAAACUCAAAAAACGCCGUGAAGGCUAUCAACAAAAGAAAGAAAAAAUAUGCGCACAACAAAGGCAGAUAUAUGCAAAAAUGCAGCCGGAACAAAAGAAAGCUAGAAUAGAACAUAUCAAUGAAUUGAAACGCAACACAGCAAGCAAAGACUCCAUUGCACUGGAGAACCCUGCAUAUAUCGCAACUGAAAAAGAAGUUGGUACUUCUACCUUUCCUGAUUACAGAAAGCAUGUCACACCAGGAGAAAGGCAAACAUUGCUACACCGUCGUAACAAAGAAUUCACGACAAGACAGAGGCAUGUAUCAUCGAAACAAGAUGUAUCUAUGACGGAAACCGGCGACGCCAACACAGAACCUCUACAGCAACCAGAAGAAAUGAUUUACGGUAAUACUAAAUUUUACACAAUACUCGCGUUCAAAAUAAAUAUACGAAUGUUUGUACAACUAACCAUCUUUUAUGGACAGACAUCCCCUCAUCAAUGUUUCCAAGCAUCAAAGAAGCAGAUACACCAAGUGACGAUCACAAUAAGGUGGCGUUGUGGCCAGACAUCCCGUCUUCAAUGUUUCCAGCAAUCAAGGAAGCAAGGAUGA
rnacentral:rRNA from 1 species